AUUGAAACACUGAUUCUCAUGUGAUCACCAAAGUUAAGCAACAUUGAGUCUGGUACCUAGAUGGGUGACCACUUGAGAAUACCCGGUGCUGUU